rnacentral:rRNA from 1 species
AAACGCUGAGGUGUGAUGACGAGGCACUACGGUGCUGAAGUAACAAAUGCCCUGCUUCCAGGAAAAGCCUCUAAGCAUCAGGUAACACGAAAUCGUACCCCAAACCGACACAGGUGGUCAGGUAGAGAAUACCAAGGCGCUUGAGAGAACUCGGGUGAAGGAACUAGGCAAAAUGGUGCCGUAACUUCGGGAGAAGGCACGCUGAUAUGUAGGUGAAGUGGUUUACCCAUGGAGCUGAAAUCAGUCGAAGAUACCAGCUGGCUGCAACUGUUUAUUAAAAACACAGCGCUGUGCAAACACGAAAGUGGACGUAUACGGUGUGACGCCUGCCCGGUGCCGGAAGGUUAAUUGAUGGGGUUAUCCGUAAGGAGAAGCUCUUGAUCGAAGCCCCGGUAAACGGCGGCCGUAACGAUAACGGUCCUAAGGUAGCGAAAUUCCUUGUCGGGUAAGUUCCGACCUGCACGAAUGGCGUAAUGAUGGCCAGGCUGUCUCCACCCGAGACUCAGUGAAAUUGAACUCGCUGUGAAGAUGCAGUGUACCCGCGGCAAGACGGAAAGACCCCGUGAACCUUUACUAUAGCUUGACACUGAACACUGGUCCUUGAUGUGUAGGAUAGGUGGGAGGCUUUGAAGUGUGGACGCCAGUCUGCAUGGAGCCAUCCUUGAAAUACCACCCUUUAAUGGCUGGUGUUCUAACGUAGACCCGUGAUCCGGGUUGCGGACAGUGUCUGGUGGGUAGUUUGACUGGGGCGGUCUCCUCCUAAAGAGUAACGGAGGAGCACGAAGGUUAGCUAAUCCUGGUCGGACAUCAGGAGGUUAGUGCAAAGGCAUAAGCUAGCUUGACUGCGAGAGUGACGGCUCGAGCAGGUGCGAAAGCAGGUCUUAGUGAUCCGGUGGUUCUGAAUGGAAGGGCCAUCGCUCAACGGAUAAAAGGUACUCCGGGGAUAACAGGCUGAUACCGCCCAAGAGUUCAUAUCGACGGCGGUGUUUGGCACCUCGAUGUCGGCUCAUCACAUCCUGGGGCUGAAGUAGGUCCCAAGGGUAUGGCUGUUCGCCAUUUAAAGUGGUACGCGAGCUGGGUUUAGAACGUCGUGAGACAGUUCGGUCCCUAUCUGCCGUGGGCGCUGGAGAAUUGAGGGGGGCUGCUCCUAGUACGAGAGGACCGGAGUGGACGCAUCACUGGUGUUCGGGUUGUCAUGCCAAUGGCAUUGCCCGGUAGCUAAAUGCGGAAGAGAUAAGUGCUGAAAGCAUCUAAGCACGAAACUUGCCCCGAGAUGAGUUCUCCCUGACUCCUUGAGAGUCCUGAAGGAACGUUGAAGACGACGACGUUGAUAGGUCGGGUGUGUAAGUGUAGCGAUACAUUGAGCUAACCGAUACUAAUGAACC